CUGAAACCGUGUACGUACAAGCAGUGGGAGCACCCUUUGGGUGUGACUGCGUACCUUUUGUAUAAUGGGUCAGCGACUUAUAUUCUGUAGCAAGGUUAACCGAAUAGGGGAGCCGGAGGGAAACCGAGUCUUAACCGGGCGUUAAGUUGCAGGGUAUAGACCCGAAACCCGGUGAUCUAGCCAUGGGCAGGUUGAAGGUUGGGUAACACUAACUGGAGGACCGAACCGACUAAUGUUGAAAAAUUAGCGGAUGACCUGUGGCUGGGGGUGAAAGGCCAAUCAAACCGGGAGAUAGCUGGUUCUCCCCGAAAGCUAUUUAGGUAGCGCCUCGUGAAUUCAUCUCCGGGGGUAGAGCACUGUUUCGGCUAGGGGGCCAUCCCGGCUUACCAACCCGAUGCAAACUGCGAAUACCGGAGAAUGUUAUCACGGGAGACACACGGCGGGUGCUAACGUCCGUCGUGAAGAGGGAAACAACCCAGACCGCCAGCUAAGGUCCCAAAGUCAUGGUUAAGUGGGAAACGAUGUGGGAAGGCCCAGACAGCCAGGAUGUUGGCUUAGAAGCAGCCAUCAUUUAAAGAAAGCGUAAUAGCUCACUGGUCGAGUCGGCCUGCGCGGAAGAUGUAACGGGGCUAAACCAUGCACCGAAGCUGCGGCAGCGACACUGUGUGUUGUUGGGUA
rnacentral:rRNA from 1 species